UAUAUUAUCUAACCAGCCUCUGCAUCACUUAUUCUGCAAUUAAUAGAAGGGUGAACGGAGGCUGUAUUUCUCGACCAUUGGUCUCAUACCUAUUUGUGAGAAGGAGAAUUCUCUGGAAAAGAGAAAAGCAGAGCAGAAACUCAAAGGGGAAGCGAAUAUGAAAAUCCUCAGAGCUGAGAAGAUACAAGAUCACAGGCAGCUACAGACUCGAAAAUAAGAAUAAGGACCAAGGAACAGUUUGACAUGACCAGGAGAGUGAGGAAAAACGAAAGAGCAGGGAGAAGACCGGAGCGUAUAUGGUGGCAGAGAUGAUGGAGAUGAACAAAGAAGAGCCAGAGACAGAUGUCAUACAAAAGGAACAGUAAGUUCUUAUCAUAAAUACAGAGAUGGAAGCAGUGAUCUAAUUACGGCGAAAAUCAGUUCCUAGGCCAGCUUUCCCAGUUGAAGCUUUCCUGGGUGACUCCAUCAGCCAGCCCUGUGUGGUCCAGGAGUAUGGCAGAGUGGGAGUAGAAACGGGCAGAAACAGAUACUAACUUCUCCCACUUCCGUUUAAACCCAAGAAGACCUUUAUUCUCCUACACAGGAAAACUGGAGUUUGCACAUUCGUUGGCUACUUUGUACCAGAUAGAGAAAUUUGAUUAAUGCCAAUUCUUCAAAGAGUCAGCUGUAAAACUUUGCCUGUCAGUAAAUAAACAAAUUAAAGAGCAAGAGUUAUUAGUGCUUCA